AUGAAGCAGCCAUCCUUUAAAGAAAGCGUAAUAGCUCACUGGUCAAGUGGAUCUGCGCCGAUAAUUCAACGGGGCUCAAGACGGCCACCGAAGCUACGGACUUGUUAGUGAUACGUCAUUAACAAUUGGUAGAAGAGCGUUCCAUACUCGAUGAAGCCCGACCGACAAGGACGAGUGGAGGGUAUGGAAGAGACCCUGCCGGCACAAGUAGCGAUAAAACGUGUGAAAACCAUGUUCGCCGUAAACCUAAGGUUUCCUGAGCUAGGUCAAUCCGCUCAGGGUUAGUCGGGCCUAAGGCCAGGCCGAAAGGCGUAGCCGAUGGGAAACGGGUCAACAUUCCCGUACCGUCAUGCAGCGAUAAAGAACGAUGGGGUGACGCAGAAGGGCAGAUCAGCCUACGAUUGGUUGUGUAGGUUCAAGGAUGUACGAAGGCUUCGUUGGUAAAUCCGUGGAGCUAUUUCCGAGAUCCGAUGUCAAGAGCUUCGGCUCAUAAAGUGAUCGAUCCCAUGCUGCCAAGAAAAGCCUCUAAGGAGCUGUAGGGCGACCGUACCGCAAACCGACACAGGUAGGUGAGGAGAAAAUCCUAAGGCGCUAGUGAGAAUUCUCGUUUAGGAACUAGGCACAUUAACCCCGUAACUUCGGGAGAAGGGGUGCCUCUUUGGGUCAUGAGACUUGCUCUCUGAAGCCCAAGGGGGUCGCAGCGAAUCGGCUCAGGCGACUGUUUACUAAAAACACAGGGCUCUGCAAAGUCAUAAAAACGACGUAUAGGGUCUGACGCCUGCCCGGUGCCGGAAGGUUAAAGAGAGGGGUUAGACGCAAGUCGAAGCUCUGAACUGAAGCCCCGGUAAACGGCGGCCGUAACUAUAACGGUCCUAAGGUAGCGAAAUUCCUUGUCGGGUAAGUUCCGACCUGCACGAAUGGCGUAACGAUCUGAGCGCUGUCUCAACGAGGAGCACUGCGAAUCUAUAGUACCGGUGAAGAUGCCGGUUUCCCGCAACUAGACGGAAAGACCCCGUGCACCUUUACUGCACCCUAGCCUUGAACUUGGGUGCGUUCUGCGCAGGAUAGGUGGGAGGCUUUGAACCCGGGAUUUUGGUCUCGGGGGAGCCAACGGUGAGAUACCACCCUUAACGCACUUAGGUUCUAACCUGCUUCCCUUAUCGGGAAGAGAGACACGGCUAGGCGGGUAGUUUGACUGGGGCGGUCGCCUCCCAAAGAGUAACGGAGGCGCUCGAAGGUUCCCUCAGGCUGUUUGGAAAUCAGCCGGCGAGUGUAAAGGCACAAGGGAGCUUGACUGCGAGACUUACAAGUCAAGCAGGUGCGAAAGCAGGACUUAGUGAUCUGGUGGUUCCGCAUGGAAGGGCCAUCACUUAACGGAUAAAAGGUACGCCGGGGAUAACAGGCUGAUCUGGUCCAAGAGC
rnacentral:rRNA from 1 species